AUGUCGUUGGCGUCUUCCAUCAUGUCCUCGAGCUGGUCUUGAAUAUCCUAAGUAUUUAAAAAGGAGUUAAAAUGUGGCAAAGAGAAAAUAUUUGGAUGAGCUUCGGAGCAACAUGCCUUCUUUUCUCCGGAGGACCUGUCUCCUGAGUGCAUCCGAGAUCAAAAUGCAGGCGCUGAGGAGAACUCUGACAUGCACCAGAUGGCCUAAAGGUCACCAUAAAAGACUAAAGGGUUGGUGCCAGUGGCUUAUUGACAAGCAACAUUUACAGAAGCUGUGAAUAAACACAUACUGCUGGCUGGU